CUCUGGUAUUGAUUGGUGCUUGCAUCAUGAUUUACAUUUGAGUGAGUGGCGAACUGGUGAGUAACACGUGGGAAACCUGCCCAGAAGCGGGGGAUAACACCUGGAAACAGAUGCUAAUACCGCAUAACAACUUGGACCGCAUGGUCCGAGCUUGAAAGAUGGCUUCGGCUAUCACUUUUGGAUGGUCCCGCGGCGUAUUAGCUAGAUGGUGGGGUAACGGCUCACCAUGGCAAUGAUACGUAGCCGACCUGAGAGGGUAAUCGGCCACAUUGGGACUGAGACACGGCCCAAACUCCUACGGGAGGCAGCAGUAGGGAAUCUUCCACAAUGGACGAAAGUCUGAUGGAGCAACGCCGCGUGAGUGAAGAAGGGUUUCGGCUCGUAAAACUCUGUUGUUAAAGAAGAACAUAUCUGAGAGUAACUGUUCAGGUAUUGACGGUAUUUAACCAGAAAGCCACGGCUAACUACGUGCCAGCAGCCGCGGUAAUACGUAGGUGGCAAGCGUUGUCCGGAUUUAUUGGGCGUAAAGCGAGCGCAGGCGGUUUUUUAAGUCUGAUGUGAAAGCCUUCGGCUCAACCGAAGAAGUGCAUCGGAAACUGGGAAACUUGAGUGCAGAAGAGGACAGUGGAACUCCAUGUGUAGCGGUGAAAUGCGUAGAUAUAUGGAAGAACACCAGUGGCGAAGGCGGCUGUCUGGUCUGUAACUGACGCUGAGGCUCGAAAGUAUGGGUAGCAAACAGGAUUAGAUACCCUGGUAGUCCAUACCGUAAACGAUGAAUGCUAAGUGUUGGAGGGUUUCCGCCCUUCAGUGCUGCAGCUAACGCAUUAAGCAUUCCGCCUGGGGAGUACGGCCGCAAGGCUGAAACUCAAAGGAAUUGACGGGGGCCCGCACAAGCGGUGGAGCAUGUGGUUUAAUUCGAAGCUACGCGAAGAACCUUACCAGGUCUUGACAUACUAUGCAAAUCUAAGAGAUUAGACGUUCCCUUCGGGGACAUGGAUACAGGUGGUGCAUGGUUGUCGUCAGCUCGUGUCGUGAGAUGUUGGGUUAAGUCCCGCAACGAGCGCAACCCUUAUUAUCAGUUGCCAGCAUUAAGUUGGGCACUCUGGUGAGACUGCCGGUGACAAACCGGAGGAAGGUGGGGAUGACGUCAAAUCAUCAUGCCCCUUAUGACCUGGGCUACACACGUGCUACAAUGGAUGGUACAACGAGUUGCGAACUCGCGAGAGUAAGCUAAUCUCUUAAAGCCAUUCUCAGUUCGGAUUGUAGGCUGCAACUCGCCUACAUGAAGUCGGAAUCGCUAGUAAUCGCGGAUCAGCAUGCCGCGGUGAAUACGUUCCCGGGCCUUGUACACACCGCCCGUCACACCAUGAGAGUUUGUAACACCCAAAGUCGGUGGGGUAACCUUUUAGGAACCAGCCGCCUAAGGUGGGACAG
rnacentral:rRNA from 2 species